UUUUUUUGAGUUUUUGUUGUAUUUAGUCAAAAUCCGAGAACCGUGUCGCGCUUUGGGCCCUUGUGGCGAUUGUAUCGUCCUUGUAGAAAAGUCUCCUCACCGGAAUGAUUUAUGGCCGCCUGGCCCCGAUAAUUAUUUUGGUAACGUCAAAACACUGGCGACAAAUGGCCCAUUUAGAUCUCUCUACGAUAUUUUAAAUGAAAUCGUCAGUUUUGACAUGAUGCGACUGAAUCGUAAAAUUUUAAUCGUCGAUUCAUCAUAAAUCCGGACACUUUUAAAUUCUAAUCCCGAAUUGAAUCAUCGUGCCCACAAAUUGACAGUCCACGGCGCGAGAUAAAAAAUUAAUUAAAACGUUACGUUUGGAGCCAUUAUAAAAUUCCAUAAUUAAUUUGGAAUCGUUUAAUUGACUAUAAAGUCGCGGUCGUGCCGGUCAUAUUCUUUAAUUAAAUCAAUUUGUUUCGAUCUGGAUGGCGAGCGAAGUCGUUUCGAUUUUAAUAAAAACGCAAAACGAGUCGACAAGUGAAAUCCAAGCCCGGAAAAAAUCCGUGUUAAGUACUCGGGUACUUAGCACGCGGCUCGUAAAGAUGCGGGAUGAUAAGGCCGAAUAUCCCGUAAUUGGGUGAAAUUAUGGCCGACUUUUAGCUUUUGUUCUCCUCCAGAGUGUGCCUCGGCGUCGAAAAAAUCCACCCAUUUUCCACCGAGACAUUCUUUAAUUGCUUUCGGACGAAAAGAUAUUUAUCUGCGUAUGUGUGUAAUGCGAAUUAAAAUUGAAAUGCCAUUUUUAUUAACGUUCCAAUAUAUCAAAAUUUAUGUCAGGACUGCUCUGCUUUAUUGUUUUGAUUUUUUCAAAGGUCGCUCACUGCACCGGACUCGAUGGUAUUAAGUGAAUCAGGGGCGGAUUAGGUCCAGUUGCUGCAAGGACGAGUGCAGGCGCCACGGGGGACACGCACCGUAAUUGAAUUUCAUACAAACCGGACGAAAAACUAGAUAUGAAACAUAGUGGUCGCAAAAAUUCGAGCUACAAACAUUUGAAUUAACCACAAACUCUGAAAAUGAAAAUUAUUAUUAAAACUAAGCACAUGUUUAUUUUGCGAUUUUGGUCGUGUAGAGCCUGGUGCGGUUAUCGCUUUCGAGAAGAGUUCGAUCGGAAGAAAGAUAUAAUCUGUAUAAGAAAAUUUCACACGAUAUCUCGCAAUUUGUCGCACAUACUAAGCGCGCAAGUGUAAAAGAAUGUGGUAGGAUAAGAAUUUUUUCGCUUGUUGUAAGUCGCCGUCUUGUACUUAUAGCACAAAUGCGGUGUUUAUAUGCGCUUUUGUGCCAUCGUAAUCCCAAGAUUUUCACAAUUUUUUCCGAUAAUCGGUCCGAUAGUGAAAGCGUCUUAUCGACAUUUAAAACGCUAUUAAUCGCUUCUGAGAGAUGAAUCAAUCUGUGUGAGAAUUUAAAUUGCGCUUAAUGGCCUACACGUAACGAAAAAACCCAAAUAGCUCCGAUUCGAGUGCGAUUUCAAAUCACUUUCUUAUCGAUGUAAUUAAAGUUUUAUCUAAAAAUGUGUAAUCUUAUCGAGGGAUUAUUUAAAAGGCCCCGAAUACAACUUAAUGAAUGAAGAUAUAUCUAGUCCCGGCACGCAAUAUUUGUAUUUCUAAUUACGGUUUCGUUGACCGGGAAUAAUUCCGGUUAUUUUUAAAUCGUGCGACUUUCGGCCUGCGUAUUGGUAGCAGGAAUGCCGUCCUAUUUGCAUACAAUGUGCCCUUAAACAACACACUUUUCUAGUGGCUUUUUACUCCCGGACAAUUGCGACUAAAUAAAUAAAAAUCUCAUUCUUUUUCCGCCCGAAAUUGUUACGGCGAAUGAUUGACGAGCGCUGUGUGGCCGUCGGCGGCGUUCUUGAGCUUUUUGCUAGCUCGUCCGGAGCUAUUUUUUAAUGUGCGGUAAGGGCUGCCGGAGAUUUCAACGCGAGCGCAGGCACAGCCCCGUUUUCACGGUACAUUAGGCAUCGCGGUCGCCGGCAAAUUUCGAUUUAAAUUAAAAAUGCAAUACGAUAAAUCAGUCUGGUAGUGCGCGUUCGGUAGUGGCUGCAUUCUCCGUGUUCGUGAUCGGCCUCCGAAAACGCGCUCUUUUUUGACAUCGCCUCCGUGAGAAAAUGCAAAGAGAAGGGCCCGGCGACAGGGGCGGAUUUCGGACACGUCUAACGACGGAAAUAAUGCACCGAUAAAUGGUGUAAUUGAGCGAUAAGUGAGCGAAUCGCCGUCGUCGCCGAUAAAAGAACGAAAGAAGAAACGACCAGAGGAAUUGUCCAACCGACCUUCCAAUACGUGGACGACGUUCUAAAGACAGCGGUCACUGUCCAAGACAAGACCGGCAGUCUUGUAGACUUCUUGCAGGCUCACACAUACAUUAAGGACAGGGGCGGACUGCAGCGGACGCGAUGCGAAAAAAGCAAACAAUGCUACAUUGGAAAAGCAUUAAUUGGGAGAUCAGUAUGGAGUUUACGACCGGGAGAGACCCGGUUUUAAUGUCCGAGACUUUUUUUCGACAUAUUCAAACCGGGCGGACGAUCGAUUCGUUCAAUACGCCGAUAAUGACACUCAAACAAGUUAAACACAAUUGCUUCCACAACCAUUAUCAGCCACAGCUUCCUAGUAUCUCGAUGAACUUGUUGAAACGUCGUAACACAAUCAAAAAAUAUCUCUUUGUUGCAGCAACUUACUUGCAUUAGCCUUUUAGUUUCAAGUGGUAUUGAAACAUUUUUACUUAGGUACUUUAAAAAACAUCAAAUUUUUACGAUAAUAAAUUUUGGUAAUGGGGUUACGUCAAAAGUUCCGAAGUUAUUGUCCGCUGGAUUUCAAAAUCAUCACACUCAUUUUUCAAACGUCAAUUACAGAAAAACAAUUCGACAAAGUUGAACUAUUUUAUUGUAAGCUUAUGUAGAAUGAUCUAGGGAAUCGACUGGCGUUUAAAAAAUCGCCAAAUUCUCAAUAGUUAUUAAGUUUUUUUUUUCAAUUUUUGCUUUUGUAUGCAAUUGUCUCGAAAAUUAUUAAUCGGAAAACAGUGUACUUUUUUGAAAAAAAAAAUACUAAAAGAGUUUUUUAAUGACAAUAGGUAAACUUAAUAAUAACCUGGAGUUACGUCUAACAGUUCCGGUGUUAUUAUACGAUGAAUGCCAAAAACACGGUAAAAUAUUCACAAAAUCACUUUUCAAACGUAAAUUACGGCAAAACUAAUGAAGAAGGAAAACUACUUUGAUGUGAGCCAAUGUAAAUUGUUCUGGGGAAUCGACUGGCGUCGAGAAAAUGGCCACAUUCUCAAUGGUUUUUAAGAUAUAUUUUUUUAAAUGUUUGUUUUGUUUGCAUUUUUUUCGAAAAAUAUUAAUCGAAAAACAUUGUACUUUUUGAAAAAAAACUAUUAAAAAAGCUUUCUAUCAAUAAUAAACUUAUUGUUAAUAAACUUAUUAAUAGUAAGUUAUGUCUAAUUUUUUUUUCGGUUUCGGUUUCGGUUAUUUUUUUCAUUUUUGUUAACUACUUUUGAGACUUUCUUAAGCAACACAACAUUGCUUACUUACUUGAGAAAAGAGGGUAGGUAUCAGAUGGAAUUUUAAAUUUAAAUUUUUAAUUGCUUAGGUUUUAUUACGGACUUGAGUUGCAUUAGGUGAUUUGGAUACAUUUUGGAAGUAAUAAAAAUUCUUAUCUUCGUUAUAAAUUUUUUGUUGAAUAAUUUCGAACCGGAGAGAAGGUCCAACAAAUCAAGAGUGACAGUUUCGUGUGCGCGUGUUAAAAAAACCAUUAAACCAUUUUUUUAUAAAGCGGCUACUUGAUUAUGGUUUAUCGCCUAUCCUGUCACAAUAUUCCGCCGACGAAAGAAAUCUUUUAUCCGAAGUGGUCGACCAGGUGCACAAGCCUCAUGUUAGAACCGUCAAGCUUCAAGAUUUCACCUACUCGCGUCGGCUUUGACUUAUUACUUUCUGAUAACAACGUCUCGUUCCGUGAUAUAUUAGCAGUCGUUUGAGUUUAUUUCCUUGUAAUUUUUCGUGGUUGAGGCGUCGCCACCUGUCAUUAGUUCUAUCCGCGACCUAUUAGCACCUGUGACCCCUCCGUCUAUGGUCGCGACAGGUCCGAUAUUUAUGGUGGUAGCGUUGGUAGCUGUGGAGUUUGUUUCAGAGGCCGCUCUCAGCGGGACAUCAGCUUUGACGCGUCUUCCGCUAACGCGAGCUUUCAGCGCCGCUGCGUAUUAAUAUUAUCCGGCGACAAGAUCCGGUCGUGAGUCGGCAUUCGGGCUAUUCCAGGCGUGCUUUUUGCACCGCUUGUCGCUCACGAAUGAAAUAUGCACCCGUCGCAAACGGAAUUAAUGGCACCAGAAAUCCUAAAUUAACAAUACGCACUUAAUCAGAGAAAUGUUCAGAAAUAUGUCGACGGGAUUGUCAACAUGACACUCGCACGCCGAAUAUGGAAGCGGGCCGAAUUCGCAACGGCUCUAAGCUAAUUUUUACGAAAGCGUGGCGAUUUGUCAGCGAGGCCUACAUUGCGCGGACGCAAAUCCGCCCGAAAGUGGCACAGGAAUUAGCAAAGGCAAUUUUUUUACCCCAAACUAAUAAACUGUUCAAACACUUACUUUACAUGCGAAAACCGACCUAAUUUCAAAGCGAUUCGAGUUUUUAUAUCUAAUAAAAUAUAUUUCCUGUUGGGUUUUUCUUCACAUUUCAUCAGGGCUCAGCCUAUUUCUUCAAAAUUUUUCUGAAUAUUAAGUUAAAAGCUGCUAAGAAAAGCAUUUUGUCUCAUGGCUUUUAACAACAAAUCAGAAUAACUUAUUUGAAAAAAUAUUUUUGCAAAAAUUAUACCAUUUUUUAAAUUUCUCCUCGCAAUAUCACUCCAUCUUUAAAAAAAAAAAAAAUAAGACAUCAGUCGCUGUGGUAUUCGAGUGAUAUUCUACGAGUAAUACAGUCUUGCAAUAGUUGGAACAAAUCGUUCUUAUUGAGAAAUUUUAGGAAAACUGCCAAAAAUUAAAAUAAAAUAGUAAUAAAAUAGUGCACAAUAGAUUUUAUUGAUAUUGAAAGGGUUGAUAAAAACCUCAGUAGUAAAACCUCUCAACAACGGACCCCGAUGGGGAACCCUCAAUUGUCCGUCGUAGAGAGGUGUCCGCUAAUGGGAGGUGGAAAUUUUAAUAUAGGUUUUGUUGCGUUUCUACAAAAAUGUCCGUUGUGAAGAGGUGUCCGUUAAGGGAGAUUUCACUGUAUUAAAAAUCUCAAAAUUGGGCGUCUACGUUUUAUUUGUGUAUUUUUGUUAAGUGUUUCUUUUAAUUAAAUCAGUUAGCACUAAGAAAAUGGUUGGUGACAGAAAUAAAGCGUUGUAUCUCUUUA